rnacentral:rRNA from 1 species
CAGCCGCCGCGGUAAUACGUAGGUGGCAAGCGUUGUCCGGAAUUAUUGGGCGUAAAGCGCGCGCAGGCGGUUCCUUAAGUCUGAUGUGAAAUCUCGCGGCUCAACCGCGAGCGGCCAUUGGAAACUGGGGAACUUGAGUGCAGGAGAGGGGAGCGGAAUUCCACGUGUAGCGGUGAAAUGCGUAGAGAUGUGGAGGAACACCAGUGGCGAAGGCGGCUCUCUGGUCUGUAACUGACGCUGAGGCGCGAAAGCGUGGGGAGCAAACAGGAUUAGAUACCCUGGUAGUCCACGCCGUAAACGAUGAGUGCUAAGUGUUAGAGGGGUUAAACCCUUUAGUGCUGUAGCUAACGCGUUAAGCACUCCGCCUGGGGAGUACGGCCGCAAGGCUGAAACUUAAAGGAAUUGGCGGG